rnacentral:tRNA from 1 species
GACCGAAUGGCGUAGUGGUUAGUGACCCUGACCUGACUACUGAGCGGAUGGUCCCGGGUUCGAUUCCCGGCUGGGGCA